rnacentral:tRNA from 1 species
GCCUGGCUGGCUCAGUUGGUAGAGCAUGUGACUCUUGAUCUCAGGGUUGUGAGUUCGAGCCCCACUUUGGGCA